rnacentral:rRNA from 1 species
UACGUAGGGUCCGAGCGUUGUCCGGAAUUACUGGGCGUAAAGAGCUCGUAGGUGGUUUGUCGCGUUGUUCGUGAAAACUCACAGCUCAACUGUGGGCGUGCGGGCGAUACGGGCAGACUGGAGUACUGCAGGGGAGACUGGAAGUUCCUGGUGUAGCGGUGGAAUGCGCAGAUAUCAGGAAGAACACCCGUGGCUAAGGCGGUUCUCUAGUACGGUACUGACGCUGGAGACGCGAAAGCGUGGGGAGCAAACAGG